rnacentral:rRNA from 1 species
AGAGUUUGAUCAUGGCUCAGGACGAACGCUGGCGGCGUGCUUAACACAUGCAAGUCGAGCGGAAAGGCCCUUCGGGGUACUCGAGCGGCGAACGGGUGAGUAACACGUGAGGAACCUGCCCUUAGCUCUGGGAUAGCUCCGGGAAACCGGAAUUAAUACCGGAUAUGACCUCGGCCGACAUCUGCCGAGGUGGAAAGUUU